UGGGCAAUGCAAUUCCGGGAAAGUGCAGGCUCUCUGUGUUCUUUCCUCUCUCGCAAACCAUGGGCGCCCUUGGGUCCCUUGGGGGUCACUAUGUUACACCUGCUUUUUAUCUGUCUGGGCAGGAGCUGCUCAAGCCACAUCUUAUGACGCUGAGGUCAGUUAGUGACAAACCCAGGCGGCCUGCGGCCCUCCCGGUAGAGAGUGAAGAGGAAACGCGACGAGGGGAUACCGCCCACCCUGGUCCCCAGAGAGCCGCGUUGUUUCCUCCCACCGAGGCCUUUGGAUCGGGCCACAGCAAGCACCCCUGGGCGCCUGGCCGAAGCUGGAAACUCGGGAUAAGAAUGGAGGCCCUGGAAGGGAAGAAGAACUGAGGAGUGGGCUUGCCCUGAGGACAGCACAUUGCACUCUCACCUCCUUUGCAGUUAAGUGUGAAAUAGUGCCAAUAGCGUGAAAGAAAAGAAAGAAGAUGAUUCACCUCCCAAAGAAGGCGAUUCCCCACUGCUGUGUCCCUUCUAUCAACUUGAUUCAAAAAACCAAAAUGGACCGGGGAACCACGUGUUGAAGAUGGGAGAGCUCCAAAAGAGACUGGAGCCCUGAGUCACCACCUGGAGGAAAACUACCCACCCAUCAGGAAUUUAUACUAUACAAUUGGGAGUUUUUGGGUUACAGCAGCUACUUUAACUAAAACACCCAGAGACAAGAGUUAUUAUUGCACACACUGGUUACCUUUUUGUAUGUUUGGGUCCUCUCUGUUCGAUGAGACUGCACAUUCCUUUGAAACACAUCUGUUUAAAAUUCUUAUAUCCCCAGAGACCCUAGCAGAGAGUAUGCACAGAGUGAGCCUUCAGUAAAUGCUGAGUACAUAAGCUCCUAAAGGAUGAAACUGGGUCUUCGAAGCUUGUUCUGACCCGUACUUAGUAUAGGAUUUUGUGCUGUUGGUCACUUUUCAUAAAGGUUCUUGCUAUUAAGGAACUUGAUAUCCAAGGUACUCACAGAGAGUAGAAAUUCAGGGGAAACAAAUAGAAGAGAUAUGUCCAAAAAUCCAUUUAAAAUUUCACUGACAGAUAUUUAUCUCUUUAAUCCUGGAAGUUGUUGCAUGUAAGGGAAGGUUCAGUAGAACGAAAACAGGACUGCAAGCUGGGAGGAGAUUUGGGGUCUCCUGGCCAACUCUGCCACAAAUUGUGUUACCUUCAAUUUCCCUGCUGGUAAAAUGAAGCCAGUGGUCCCCAAAAUGAAAUUUGGACUAAUGGCAAAUUAGCUAGCAUUUGAUUAUACAUCGAUAGGUUCCCCAUGUGAUUUUAAUGCACAAAUCAGAUUUGGGAACCAUUAGGUAGGUGAUCUUAUCCUAUGAGUCUAUCUUUUUCAACAUGGAAAAAUAAAUUUGUUUUGCUGACCGAAGGCUGUGUAACUUAGAACUGGAAAGAGACAUAGAAUCAAAUAACCCAUCUCUAUGGGGCAAAAAAAUUAAACACCUUUAGUUCAUCCAAAGAUGAAAUGGAAAAAUAAACAUGUUUUAAGAUG